rnacentral:ribozyme from 15 species
UUUUUUUUUUUUUUUUUUUUUAAAUUUCCCCCGUGAUAAUUAUUAAGAGUAAUCACAGACAGAAAUAAAGCCUAUGAAAUAACGCAUUUUACUAUGCAUAGAUUAUACAUGCUAAU